GCCUCGGUUCCAGCUUUUCAGCCAACGAACACGGCGGGAAUGAACACCAUGUUGGAUUGCACGACUCGGCCAUGGACGAAGGUCGAGAUUGCAGUUUCAUUCCCUUGUUCUUAUCAACCAAUCUUGGACACAUCUAUUUACAAUCAGCUUAAACGCAAGCUGCUAUAAAGUACGAAGAAUGCUGUUCUGGGAGGAAUUCAAAAGAGGGCGGUUGCAACACGAACUGGCAUCAUCAUGAAGAAAAUCUCAGCAACUUCGUUGCGAUACCACUUGGAGGCUCAACCAAAUGUCUAGAAAUGAUUUCAGAAAGAUACCACUUGGAGGCUCAACCAAAUGUCUAGAAAUGAUUUCAGAAAGGUAAAAUUUUAAGCUUUAUUUUGUUUUACGUAAAAAUUUUUUUGAAAAAAUUUAAAUAUUUUUAACUUUUUGCAGGUACGGGGGUCAUGAAUUUUUUAAAAAAUCACCAAGUCCUUCUUUUGAAAAAAUCAGCAUAAAUUUCACAGAAACUAACAGAAAUGGCGUUCAAAACGUAUCUUGAGGCUUUUUAGGUUGUUUUGUGUCAAAAAAUUUUUUUUAGAAAUUUCAAGAUUUAUCAACCUUUUUGCAGGUGUGGGGUCAGAAAUUUUUCAAAAAUCACCAACUCCUUAUUUUCAAAAAAUCAACAUAAAUUUAACCGAAACGACCCGAAAUGGCGUUCAGAAAGUAUCUUGAGGCUUUUUAGGUUGUUUCGAGUAAAAAAAAUUUUUUUAAAAGUUUCAAGAUUUUUCAACUCUUUUGCAGGUCCGGGGUCAUGAAUUUUUUCAAAAAUCACAAAGUCCUUUUUUUCAAAAAAUCAGCAUAAAUUUCACCGAAACGACCUGAAAUGGCGUUCAGAACGUAUCUUGAGGCUUUUUAGGUUGUUUCGAAUAAAAAAUUUUUUUUGAAAAAUUUCAAGAUUUUUCAACUUUUUUGCAGGUCCGGGGUGAUGAAUUUUUUCAAAAAUCACCAACUCCCUUUUUUCACAAAAUCAGCAUAAAUUUAACCGAAACGACCCGAAAUGGCGUUCAGAACGUAUCUUGAGGCUUUUUAGGUUGUUUCAAGUAAAAACAUUUUUUUGAAAAAUUUCAAGAUUUUUCAACUUUUUUGCAGGUCCGGGGUCAUGAAUUUUUUCAAAAAUCACCAAAUCCUUAUUUUCCUAAAAUCAUCAUAAAUUUCACCGAAAAGACCCGAAAUGGCGUUCAGAACGUAUCUUGAGGCUUUUUAGGUUGUUUGGAGUAAAAAAAACUUUUGAAAAAUUUUAAGAAUUUUCAACUUUUUUGCAGGUCCGGGGUCAUGAAUUUUUUCAAAAAUCACCAACUUCUUAUUUUCGAAAAUCAGCAUAAAUUUAACCGAAACGACCUGAAAUGGCGUUCAGAACGUAUCGGGUCAUGAAUUUUUUCAAAAAUCACAAAGUCCUUAUUUUCCUAAAAUCAGCAUCAACUUCACCAAAAAGACCCGAAAUGGUGUUCAGAACGUAUCUUUCGGCUUUUUAGGUUGUUUCGAGUAAAAAAAAAUUUUUGAAAAAUUUCAAGAUUUUUCAACUUUUUUGCAGGUCCGGGGUCAUGAAUUUUUUCAAAAAUCACAAAGUCCUUUUUUUCCUAAAAUCAGCAUCAACUUCACCAAAAAGACCCGAAAUGGUGUUCAGAACGUAUCGGGUCAUGAAUUUUUUCAAAAAUCACAAAGUCCUUAUUUUCCUAAAAUCAGCAUCAACUUCACCAAAAAGACCCGAAAUGGUGUUCAGAAAGUAUCUUGCGGCUUUUUAGGUUGUUUCGGGUAAAAAAAUAUUUUUGAAAAAUUUCAAGAUUUUUCAACUUUUUUGCAGGUCCGGGGUCAUGAAUUUUUUCAAAAAUCACCAACUCCUUAUUUUCCUAAAAUCAGCAUAAAUUUCACCGAAAAGACCCGAAAUGGUGUUCAGAACGUAUCUUGAGGCUUUUUAGGUUGUUUGGAGUAAAAAAAACUUUUGAAAAAUUUUAAGAAUUUUCAACUUUUUUGCAGGUCCGGGGUCAUGAAUUUUUUCAAAAAUCACAAAGUCCUUAUUUUCCUAAAAUCAGCAUCAACUUCACCAAAAAGACCCGAAAUGGUGUUCAGAACGUAUCGGGUCAUGAAUUUUUUCAAAAAUCACAAAGUCCUUAUUUUCCUAAAAUCAGCAUCAACUUCACCAAAAAGACCCGAAAUGGUGUUCAGAACGUAUCUUGAGGCUUUUUAGGUUGUUUGGAGUAAAAAAAACUUUUCAAAAAUUUUAAGAAUUUUCAACUUUUUUGCAGGUCCGGGGUCAUGAAUUUUUUCAAAAAUCACAAAGUCGUUAAUUUCCUAAAAUCAGCAUCAACUUCACCAAAAAGACCCGAAAUGGUGUUCAGAACAUAUCUUCUGGCUUUUUAGGUUGUUUCGGGUAAAAAAAAAUUUUUGAAAAAUUUCAAGAUUUUUCAACUUUUUUGCAGGUCCGGGGUCAUGAAUUUUUUCAAAAAUCACCAACUCCUUAUUUUCCUAAAAUCAGCAUAAAUUUCACCGAAAAGACCCGAAAUGGUGUUCAGAACGUAUCUUGAGGCUUUUUAGGUUGUUUGGAGUAAAAAAAACUUUUGAAAAAUUUUAAGAAUUUUCAACUUUUUUGCAGG